rnacentral:rRNA from 1 species
CAUGCAGGCGGUCAGGCGCGUUUUGUGUGACAGCGGAGGGCUUAACCCUCCGAGGAUACGAGAUACGGCGUGACUUGAGAGCGCGAGAGGGACACGGAAUUCCGGGUGGAGUGGUGAAAUGCGUAGAGAUCCGGAGGAACACCGAAGGCGAAGGCAGUGUCCUGGCGCGUAUCUGACGCUGAGGUGCGAAAGCCAGGGGAGCGAACGGGAUUAGAUACCCCGGUAGUCCUGGCCGUAAACGAUGACCACUAGGUGUAGGAGGUAUCGACCCCUUCUGUGCCGUAGUUAACACAAUAAGUGGUCCGCCUGGGGAGUACGGUCGCAAGAUUAAA